AGGGAGUGCGACCUCGCUGCUGAGUUAGCCUGGCUCUUGAGCCGGGCUGAUAGAAACUCCCCCAAUCCCCACUUGUUUCUGUGUUUAGGGUUUGGCAAACUGGUGUUUUCACUCUCAGGGGCUAGCUCCAUUUGUCUGGCCACUUUUCUGACUACAGUGCUGGGUACUGCACCUUUACAACAAGGCUGUGAGGGCUGAGCACUCAGAGGCAGAGGCUGGGGGAUCCCUGAGUUCAAGGCUACCCAGGGCUACGCAACCCAGAUCGUGGCUCCUAACAGCACAGAACAGAGAGUAGUGGACUAACUGCCAUGUGCAUAUGAUCUGUAGCCUUUACAGUGGCCUUGAAAGUUGCUAAUCCCCAUUACUGAUGAAGAGACUGAAGGUCAUGGGACACAAACUUCAGCUUGGAAGGGCACCUGGUUCCCCAGCAUCCCAGACAACAGUCCCCUGUGUGGCUCCUGGUGUGAUGUGCACUAGGCCCAGAAGGACAUGGAGAGAAUGUGCACAGCCUUGUCCCGGCGCUGGAAAACAGAAGCUAACCUGUAAGCAACUAGAGGAUGUUUUCAGCUCGUGAGGAAGACUUAGCUUUUAAAAAGUAAAAAGCAGGAACAGGACACCAGAGAAGUACCGGCUGCUUCCAGGGCUGGGAGUUGAUUCCUGUUAAUGCCAAGAAACUAGGAUGCCUCCAUUUCCUUGUUCUCCUUACCACUUUAAUAAAGAAAAAGAAUCACGUGUUUC
rnacentral:lncRNA from 1 species